rnacentral:rRNA from 1 species
UACGUAGGGGGCAAGCGUUGUCCGGAAUCAUUGGGCGUAAAGAGCGCGUAGGCGGCCCUGUAAGUCCGCUGUGAAAGUCAAGGGCUCAACCCUUGGAUGCCGGUGGAUACUGCAGGGCUAGAGUCCGGAAGAGGCGAGUGGAAUUCCUGGUGUAGCGGUGAAAUGCGCAGAUAUCAGGAAGAACACCCGUGGCUAAGGCGGCUCUCUAGUACGGUACUGACGCUGAGACGCGAAAGCGUGGGGAGCGAACAGG